UAAGCGGAGGAAAAGAAACCAACAGGGAUUGCCUUAGUAGCGGCGAGUGAAGCGGCAAAAGCUCAAAUUUGAAAUCUGGCACUUUCAGUGUCCGAGUUGUAAUUUGAAGAAGGUAUCUUUGGGUCUGGCUCUUGUCUAUGUUUCUUGGAACAGAACGUCACAGAGGGUGAGAAUCCCGUGCGAUGAGAUGUCCCAGACCUAUGUAAAGUUCCUUCGAAGAGCUUCGAGUUGUUUGGGAAUGCAGCUCUAAGUGGGUGGUAAAUUCCAUCUAAAGCUAAAUAUUGGCGAGAGACCGAUAGCGAACAAGUACAGUGAUGGAAAGAUGAAAAGAACUUUGAAAAGAGAGUGAAAAAGUACGUGAAAUUGUUGAAAGGGAAGGGCUUGAGAUCAGACUUGGUAUUUUGUAUGUUACUCUCUCGGGGGUGGCCUCUACAGUUUACCGGGCCAGCAUCAGUUUGAGCGGUAGGAUAAGUGCAAAGAAAUGUGGCACUGCUUCGGUAGUGUGUUAUAGUCUUUGUCGAUACUGCCAGCUUAGACUGAGGACUGCGGCUUCGGCCU
rnacentral:rRNA from 1 species